rnacentral:rRNA from 1 species
CUACGUGCCAGCAGCCGCGGUAAUACGUAGGGCGCGAGCGUUGUCCGGAAUUAUUGGGCGUAAAGAGCUUGUAGGCGGUUUGUCGCGUCUGCUGUGAAAGGCCGGGGCUUAACCCCGUGUAUUGCAGUGGGUACGGGCAGACUAGAGUGCAGUAGGGGAGACUGGAAUUCCUGGUGUAGCGGUGGAAUGCGCAGAUAUCAGGAGGAACACCGAUGGCGAAGGCAGGUCUCUGGGCUGUAACUGACGCUGAGAAGCGAAAGCAUGGGGAGCGAACAGGAUUAGAUACCCUGGUAGUCCAUGCCGUAAACGUUGGGCACUAGGUGUGGGGGACAUUCCACGUUUUCCGCGCCGUAGCUAACGCAUUAAGUGCCCCGCCUGGGGAGUACGGCCGCAAGGCUAAAACUCAAAGAAAUUGACGGGGGCCCGCACAAGCGGCGGAGCAUGCGGAUUAAUUCGAUGCAACGCGAAGAACCUUACCAGGGCUU